AAGCAAUACACUGUAACAGAUUAUCAAAAUAGUUGGCACAAUUUGAGCUUGCUCCAACAAAAAAGUCAAACCUAUUUGGGCAUUCUCACCUCUGUGACACAGGCCCUUGCAUAUACUUAAACAGG
ensembl:snoRNA small nucleolar RNA SNORA28